GAAAACCCCCCGCUAUGCAAUUUUUCAAUAAACCCCUUCCACAGCCCCGAACCCUAACCCCCUCUCCUUCCACCGCCCCGCCCUCUCCCUCCCUCUCCUGCUCCGGCCACCUCCCUCUUUGAUCUCUGACUCCCCGUCGUCGCCUCCCUUCCCCUUCUCCCUCUCCGCUUGCCUCUGUUGCCCCUCCCGCCACCGCUCCUCUUACUCUUGUCGCCACCGCCCGCUCCCGCGGGAUCCACGCCGCCCUCAACCCCAACCCCGUCGCCUCCUCUCUCACUGUACCCCAGCAGCGCCUCCUCUCCUCUCUUUCCUGGCGCCUUCUUCCCGGCGGCGCCCCUCACCCCUACGCGCGGCACGGGCCGGCGUGGAUUCGGCGCCUUCUUCCCUGCUGUGCCCCUCCUGCCCCUCACCCCUCGGUGCGGCACGGGCCGGCAUGGAUGCGGGGGUCCUGCUCGCGGCGCGGCCCGCAGUGGCUGCGUGCGGGUGACAGAGGCACGGUCGGGCGGGCCCGGGAGCAGAGCGGGCGCAGGAGCAGAGGCCGCGCAGCAGCGGCGUGGCGUAGGCCAGGAGGCGGGCGCGGCGCGGGUGUGCAGGAGGACCAGCGGCGCGGCCGGCGAGGGGCGUGCGUUGGCAGCACCAGCAGCGACGCGACGCGGAUCGGGUAGCGGAGGAGCAUGGCGUCGAGGUCCAUCCCCGGCGCCUCCUGGGUCUCCUCCCGAGGCUCGGUGACGUCGAGAGCGCGGCGCCGGGCAGCCAAGGCAGCAAAGGAAGCGGCGGCUGCUGCGGUGCGCGAGGAGGCAUCAGCCCUCCAGAUGACGGCCGUGCCGGCUCACCCCUUCGCAUGUGGCCACGUCGCUCUCGGAACAAGAGCAGAUCCAGCGAGCCGUGGGGAAGGGGAAGCAACGGUAUAGUAGCGCGGCCAUUCCGACAACAAACUACGGCGUUGGCCUAUGACCGUGGCGAGCAAAGAACUGAUGUGCACGCGGAGCGACAGCCUGGUGGCAAGGCAGCAAUGUGAGAUGAGCUCAAAGAAGGAUGGCAGAAGCAUGAAGAACAACCAGGAGCUGAUCAAGGUUAUGGAGUGCUGCAAAAGCUUCUCGUCCUCUUUCCCCACUGACUAUUAAGUUUGAGUAGCCUCCGUGCAUCACAUCCCAUCAGGAUGUUUCGUGUUAAGAAAAUGUAAUGCAUAUUUUAUUUUCUAAUUGCGAAUGUGCUUUUCUCGAACCAAUUGUGAAUGUCCUUUCACAUGAGCCAAUUGGAAUACCUCAACUCAGUUUAAAAUUUGCUUUGGUGUAUUAA